rnacentral:rRNA from 1 species
CCUCCCGCACUUACGUGCCUGAAGGGCCCUGGGAGACUACCAGGUUGAUAGGCCACAGGUGGAAGCUCAGCGAUGGGUGUAGCCUAGUGGUACUAAUCGCCCGUGCGGCUUGGCCUAUUACU